rnacentral:lncRNA from 10 species
GUAGGUUGCUGGGACAACCCUGGCAAGAUCUUCCCCCAGACAUCCACCUUGGCGGCCGACUUAUUAACUCAUUGGUCUAUUGACUUUUGCUCCUUGCCUCGCCCCUGAUCCCUGUGCCCUCUUUCUAAUAAGCUACCUGCUGGUGAGGCUCUGCCUUGGGGGAAACCCAGGCUGAGGCAGGUGGGAUGUUAUAACCAGGGAGGCCUGAGUCCUGGGUCUUUGCCUGGGGUCCCCAAAUAGGAGAGGGAUUGGAGGAGGUAUUGUGGGGGAGAGUGUUGCAAAAGCCCAGAGGAAAGGAGUGCUGUUACCACAACAGAGGAGACAUGAACCUGCACAGACCAAAAACAGGAGAGAGAGAGGGAAAGAGAAAGAGAAGGGGGAGAAAGAAAGGGAGAGACAGAGGAAGGGAGAGAUGGGGAAAGAGGAGAGGAGAAAGGGAGGGAGAGAAAGAAAGGAGAUGGAGAGAGAAAAGGGUGGGGAGAGAGAUAAAGAGAGAGGUAAAGAGAGAGAGAGAAUCAUCUACUACAUGAUUUCUUUUUUUUUUUUUUCUGAGAUGGAGUUUCGCUCUUGUUGCCCAGGCUGGAGUGCAGUGGCGUGAUCUCGGCUCACUGCAACCUCCAUCUCCCGGGUUCAAGCGAUUCUCCUACCUCAGCUUCCUGAGUAGCUGGGAUUACAGGUGCCUGCCACCACGCCCAGCUAAUUUUUGUAUUUUUGGUAGAGACGGGGUUUCACCGUGUUGACCAGGCUGGUCUCGAACUCCUGACCUCAGGUGAUCCGCCCGCCUCGGCCUCCCAAAGUGCUGGGAUUACAGGUGUGAGCCACCGCGCCUGGCCAUGAUUUUUUUUUUAACCUAUAAAAGCCUUGAGUAGUGAUGGACGCGAUUCCUAGUAAUGUGGUUUACUAAAGGGUCAGGCUGUCAGUUCACCACAAAUACGCCACAGUAGUGUUUGGUAUUCUCUCAAUGUUCCACCCACCAGAGCAUACAAAACAGCCACAUUCCCCAAACACUUAAUUCUCAAAACAUACUUGUAGAGGAGGGAAGCCUAUUACUCCCAUUAGAAAGAUGGAAAACCAAGGUGAAAUGAUUAACUGAGCUACCAGGGCCUCAGAAGAAAGUCGCUGCUGAGUUUGGGAUUGUGUUUUCAACUUCCUGCCCACUGUGGGUGAGCUCCACCUUUUACUGGAACCAACUCCAAGGAGGAAGUUUUGCUGGGUUUCCUGGAAGGCAGAGGUUUGCAUCUGCAUGCCCUGCGUGGAGGCAUUGUAUUUGGGGGCAGGCAGGAGAAUACUGUAGCUGGUGUGCCCACAGAAAGGGAGGGAGAGAAGCCACUGGGAGUGAGCUGGGCUUGGGAUCGGGCUGUGUCCUCACCAACUGUCUGCCCAGGCAUGAACUUGCCACUGCUGUGGAAGAGUCUGACUGCAUCCAAGAAUGCCAAAGGUUGUGGCUGAACUCACUUCUCAACAGACUUGGAUCAUGUUCAUAUACUAUUCUUUAAAAGAUCACCAUUUGUAGUAGAAUGUCAAAAACCCAAAGAUGUUGCUCCCGAUGUUGAGCUGUAACUAUUUUCUGUGUUGGUGGAAAAAUAUGAGAGAAUUAGUUGCCAUUCAUGAAUCUCAGUGAUACACAGACAAAAGCAUGCUUCAAUUUUGUUUCUUUGUUUUUGAGUGGUUCUGAUUUAUUUUCAGCUUUUGGGUGAUGUCUGGGGCUGUUUAUUGAGGACGGGAUAAAUGGGGGGGGGACCAAAAUAUAUUUGGCAUUUAUUGGUGGUGUUUUAUAUUUGUGACUUGAUUUACUUCUUAUCACAACCCAGUGAGACACGUACUAUUAUCAUCCUUUUAAUAGAUGAGCAGCCUGGAGCUUAGAGAGGUUAGGUAGCAUGGACAUCAUCAGGCAAGUUAAAUGAGAAAGCCGCCACCCAUUCCCAGCUGGGGCUGACCCCAGCGCCUGUGUUAUUUCUGUUGCCCUGAGCCUCCCCAGGCUUCUUAACCCACAUGUACUCCUAGCUUCCAGCAGUGCUAAUUUACACCGUGUACCAGCUGGAGACAUUCUGGAGUGUAGACUGACGCAAUAAUCCCCAAUGAUAGGUUUGCCAUGUUUUUUUUAAAUGUGUUUUUUCCUACUUUUUAUUAUAGAUGUCAGAAUUUUCUCCUUCCCUGAGUUAUCUUUGGACUUAGAUGUAUAUAAAUGUAUCUGGUUGGAGGUGGGGGGAAAAGUGGAAGUGGAAGACCACAAAAGUAAAAAUUACAUUUGAGUGUAUUUCACCGAUUCUAAGAGGAAUGCUUUCUUCUGCUCCAACCACUCUGAAAUCUCCGGGUCCCAUACUCCCAUCGCAGCUGUGUGACAUGGUUGCCGUGGCCUUUGUGUGAACAUCAAAGCUCAGAGGAUGGGUGUCAGAGGCUUAGAUGAAAAUCCUGAAGACAAUUGUCUGGCACUUUUCAAAGCUAUACGGCCUCACCAAAACCCUCCUGGAAGCUCUUGAUGGCUCGAGGUUCAACAGUGUCUGGGAAGACAUGGAUAUAAAAGAUCCAGAAUCAAAGAGUGAUUCCAAAGAGUUAGAGGCUGACUGUGAAGUCUUAGGCAUACUGUAACCCAGUGAUUUACCUAUCUUUGCUUUUCUGCUCAUGCAGAAGAGUGAUAUAUGAUGAAUAAAUUCUAAGUUCAAUUAGGCCUAAAAGAGCUCUUGUAAUAUGCUUUAAAAAGUCUAAGUGAUAAAACAUUGUGACAGAUAGAGUUCUGUCAGUGUUUAUAUUUUCUUAGUCCUUCAUUAAAUAACAGUGUGUCUUACACCAAGGCAGUUUUGGAUUCCAUAAAAUAUGGUAGUAGUUAUGUUUCAUGUUUCAAUAGUCAUCAAUCUGUUUUUAAUGUAUUCAUGGAAAAAUAUGUGGGCCAUCUUGCUAUUUAACUAUUUUUGAAAUCUCAUGGAAGCCUGCCAAUGUUUUUGCAAUUUAGCUAAGAAGCUGUCUUGCUUUUUGAGAGGGGAAGUUCCAAUAUUGUAAGCCUAGGUUUCUGAAUAUAUUUUUGUUUUUUAAUAAAUGUAGAAAGAAUGUUUUUUGUUAAUCCUGGCAUUUGUCUAGAGCAAAAGCAAAAUAAAUGAAAAGUGAGGAAAAUUAAAAGGCUCACGUUAUAACAUGUGCUGUCUAGAGAAUAAAAACUCAUUUGUGCAAAGUUGGUAUGGCUUUUAUGAAAAUAUUUCAGUCCGAGCACCUUGCCUGUUUGCUGCAGUGCUGACUGACUCAUGAUUAGGGAUCUGUGUUGCCUUUAUUGCUCUCGGUUUGCCCUAUGGCUUGAUUUAUUAAUAUAUUUAAAUAUACAAUUUUAACCUUA